ACGCUCGACACCUACGGAGGCAGCAGUAGGGAAUCUUCCACAAUGGACGCAAGUCUGAUGGAGCAACGCCGCGUGAGUGAAGAAGGUUUUCGGAUCGUAAAGCUCUGUUGUUGGUGAAGAAGGAUAGAGGUAGUAACUGGCCUUUAUUUGACGGUAAUCAACCAGAAAGUCACGGCUAACUACGUCACNNNCGCGUAUAUGNGCGGCGUGNGAG
rnacentral:rRNA from 1 species